AGGCCAGUUCCAAGUCCAAGUUUAAGUUCAAGUUCAAGGCCAAGUUUAAGGCCAGGGAUCCCACGUUCACACUCUGGGAGUGCUGGAACCCGCAGGGGGCCUUUCAACGAGACAGGGUGGUUUGAAAGGGGAGAUCGAGGCACCAGUGGAAGGAACAUAACCGGCGAGGCAUAGCAGGGGUCUUGGCCCCUGGCCCCGCCAACGCCGCUCCUGCGGCGCAUGUGCGGGGUUACGGGGACUCUUGGUUCCUGGGUUUGCGCCCCCAGAGUGACUGGACCCCGCAGGUUGCUGCCCAAAGAGGCACGGAGGCUUGAAAGGGGAGGUCGAGGCACCCGUGGAAGGAAAAAAAACUGGCGAGGCAGAGCAGGGGUCUUGGCCC
rnacentral:lncRNA from 1 species